GGUGUCGGUAUGGCGGCGGCGAUGGCGACGCAAGGGGAGCGGGCGGUGCUGGAAGAAGAAUUUAAAUGGCUUUUACAAGAAGAGGUCCAUGCUGUUUUGAGACAGCUGCAGGAUAUUUUGAAGGAGGCCUCCCACCGCUUUGCCUUUCCCACCAGUGGCUCAGGAGGAGCUGUCAAGCAAGAGAACUUUGUACUAAGCACAUCAGGCACAGACCAGGUGAAAGGUGUGAUGACGCUGCAGGGAGAUGCACUGUGUCAAGCUGAUGUCAAUCUGAAAAUGCCCAGAAACAAUCAGCUCCUGCAUUUUGCUUUCCGGGAAGACAAGCAGUGGAAAUUGCAGCAGAUCCAGGAUGCUAGAAACCAUGUGAACCAAGCCAUUUACCUGCUUAUGAACAGAGAUGCAAACUACCAGUUCAAAACAGGCUUGGAGGUGCUCAAGCUUAUGGAUGCUGUGAUGUUGCAGCUCUCCAGAGCCCGAAAUCGACUGACCACUCCUGCCACUCUGACACUACCAGAAAUUGCCUCCAGUGGUCUCACAAAAAUGUUCACUCCUGUGCUGCCUCCAGACAUCCUUGUGAAUUUCUAUAUUAAUCUGAACAAGCUGUGCCUCACUGUCUACCAGCUCCACGUGAUGCAGCCCAGCACAACCAAGAACUUCAAGCCUGCUGGAGGGUCUGUUUUACACAACCCUGGGGCCAUGUUUGAGUUUGGCAGCCAGCGAUAUGAAGUCAGCCAUGUCCAUAAAGUGGAAUGUGUUGUCCCAUGGUUAAAUGAUGCCCUUGUCUUCUUCACAGUUUCGUUGCAGCUUUGCCAGCAGCUGAAGGAUAAGAUCUCCGUUUUCUCCAGUUACUGGAACUACAGGCCAUAUUAAUUCACUUUGGAAUGGUCUAAGCCUUUACAGUACUUCAAGUGUCUCUCUCUGUUCUCUCAUGCCAGCUGAGUCCAGGUCAGCCUGAGGAGUGCUGGGGUUCACUGCCGUAUGCCCUGCACAGGGCAGGGUCAGUGUAUCUGGAGACACAGCUUUAGUAGCCUUGUCUGGGAUUACUGCAUAAGCAGGGCACCAAGUAGUGCUGUGUGGUUGCCAGGAGCUUCCAUCAGUCCCUCUUGUGCAUUUUGUGGUUGACACUUCCCAAGCCCCUCAUAAGUCACACAGGUCUGUUAAAAGGGAUAGGUGCUCUGGACCACCCUCACUAACUAGAUCUGUGCAUUGUGCUGUAACUAACUCCUUGACUGUGAAGUGGCUGGGAAGGGGGGAAAACAGACUAACUUAACACACCUCUUAAAAGGUAGGGCAUGUGGCUCCCUGUAGUGAAAUGUUUCUUUUAUCUGGUCCAGCUGUGCUUAUAACUAACUCGGAGUGACUCCUUCCCCUGCCUGGUCUGCCCAUCCCCAUGUUACUGAUUCCCCUUUGGGGAUGCUCUUACUUGCUGCUGUUUGAAUUCUUUCCCCCCUCAUCCAGCAUCAAUGUGAUAUAUAUUUUUUUUUCCUAAGCCCUAGUUGGGCCAAUUGGUCUUUUCCAGGUUUAGUAUCUUGUUUUCACUACCAGCCUUUGGAGUUGUCCUGGUGUACCUUUGUGCAGUCUUUCAUCUUGUCAUUAAAUGCAAAACUGGCCAUACCGGUGAAUUAAAAGGAGAAUGUGUGUGAAUUAUUACCCCUUGGUUUCUCAAGUCCUGUAGAACUGCUUUGAUACCUUCUCUGGCACCAGAAGGUAGAAGGCAGGCGGCUUUGUGGACACUUUCUAAGAGCUGGUCGGUGGUGUCAACGAUUGCCAGGGGGUCACCCCUUUCCAAUGGAUUCAUUCUCCCGGCCCAGAAAGACGUGCCCUGUGUCAGGGAUGAUGCGUCACACUUAUCUCCUUAUCUCCUGUUGUUAAGAAGACUCCACAUCCCCAGUACCCACUGGCCUCCUGUUUGGUUAAUUUAAUUUGAUGUCCACCACUGAGGGACACUCGGAAGACAUAUUCUGUCUCUGAUUCUUGUGGGAGGCACCCGAAUUCUUUUGACAGCUUAGCUAAUUCCGUAGCACUGAACAGUAUUUGUUUAGUUGUGAUAUGUGUGUCAAGAUCCUCUUUCGGCAAUGCAGAGAGACAGGGAGACCGACUCGGUAAUCCCUUUUCUUUGGACCUCUUGAAACCUGCUCUGCACACCCAGAAGAGCACCGGCAGCUAGCACCUGUGGCCCACCAGGCCGGGCCUGGCCCGCGACAUUUCCAGCACUGGAAGGACAGAUAAGAGCCUGAGCGAGCUGAACUGCAACCCAGGGAGGGGACUUUCUCAGUUUGUCAUCUCUUUUGGAGCAACAAGGGGUUUUAUUGUUUAAUAUUGUUUAGGUUUUAUUGUUUAAUAAACAGGUUUUUUCCA